GACCAUAUGAUCUAAUGGUAUGAUAUUACUACUUCACAGUAAAUAUGUGGGUUCAAUUCCCACUGUGGUUA
rnacentral:tRNA from 2 species